rnacentral:rRNA from 1 species
AGUGAACGCUGGCGGCAGGCCUAACACAUGCAAGUCGAACGGCGGCACAGUAAGAGUUUGCUCUUACGGGUGGCGAGUGGCGGACGGGUGAGGAAUACAUCGGAACCUACUUUUUCGUGGGGGAUAACGUAGGGAAACUUACGCUAAUACCGCAUAUGAUCUACGGGUGAAAGCAGUGGAUCUUCGGACCUUGCGCGAUUGAAUGAGCCGAUGUCGGAUUUGCUAGUUGGCGGGGUAAAGGCCCACCAAGGCGACGAUCCGCAGCUGGACUGAGAGGAGGGUCGGCCGCACUGGAACGUGGACAGGGACCAGGCGCCUGCGGGAAGGAGCAGUGGGGAAUGGUAGGCAGUGGGGGCAAACCUGGUCCAGCCAUACCGCGUGGGUUGAGGAGGCGUUCGGGUUGUGAAGCCCGUUUGUUGGGAAAAAAAAGCAGCAGGUUGAUACCCCGCUGUUCUGACGGUACCCAAAGAAUAAGCACCGGCUAACUUCGUG